rnacentral:rRNA from 1 species
AGCGAACGUUAGCGGCGGGCCUAACACAUGCAAGUCGAGCGAGAAAGUGGCUUCGGCCAUCAGUAAAGCGGCGGACGGGUGAGUAACACGUAGGUAAUCUUCCCUUGAGCGGGGGACAACGUUUCGAAAGGAACGCUAAUACCGCAUACGUUUCUGGGGACUCCGGUCCCUGGAAGGAAAGCUAGGUCGGGCAUUAAACCCCGGUCCAGCACUCGAGGAGGAGCCUGCGUCGCAUCAGCUAGUUGGGGGGUAACGGCCUACCAAGGCGAAGACGCGUAGCUGGUCUGAGAGGAUGAUCAGCCACACUGGGACUGAGACACGGCCCAGACUCCUACGGGAGGCAGCAGUGGGGAAUAUUGGACAAUGGGCGCAAGCCUGAUCCAGCCACGCCGCGUGAGUGAU